rnacentral:rRNA from 1 species
AGAACGAACGCUGGCGGCAUGCCUAACACAUGCAAGUCGAACGAGACCUUCGGGUCUAGUGGCGCACGGGUGCGUAACGCGUGGGAAUCUGCCCUUAGGUUCGGAAUAACUCAGAGAAAUUUGAGCUAAUACCGGAUGAUGACGUAAGUCCAAAGAUUUAUCGCCUAGGGAUGAGCCCGCGUAAGAUUAGGUAGUUGGUGGGGUAAAGGCCUACCAAGCCGACGAUCUUUAGCUGGUCUGAGAGGAUGAUCAGCCACACUGGGACUGAGACACGGCCCAGACUCCUACGGGAGGCAGCAGUGGGGAAUAUUGGACAAUGGGCGAAAGCCUGAUCCAGCAAUGCCGCGUGAGUGAUGAAAGCCUUAGGGUUGUAAAGCUCUUUUACCCGGGAUGAUAAUGACAGUACCGGGAGAAUAAGCCCCGGCUAACUCCGUGCCAGCAGCCGC